rnacentral:rRNA from 1 species
UACGAAGGGGGCUAGCGUUGCUCGGAAUUACUGGGCGUAAAGCGCACGUAGGCGGUCUUUUAAGUCGGGGGUGAAAUCCUGGAGCUCAACUCCAGAACUGCCUUCGAUACUGGAAGACUUGAGUCCGGGAGAGGUGAGUGGAACUGCGAGUGUAGAGGUGAAAUUCGUAGAUAUUCGUAAGAACACCAGUGGCGAAGGCGGCUCACUGGCCCGGUACUGACGCUGAGGCGCGAAAGCGUGGGGAGCAAACAGG